UUAACUGACGCUAAAGCUCGAAAGUGCGGGUAUCGAACAGGAUUAGAUACCCUGGUAGUCCGCACGGUAAACGAUGGAUGCCCGCUGUUGGCGAUAUAAUGUCAGCGGCCAAGCGAAAGCGUUAAGCAUCCCACCUGGGGAGUACGCCGGCAACGGUGAAACUCAAAGGAAUUGACGGGGGCCCGCACAAGCGGAGGAACAUGUGGUUUAAUUCGAUGAUACGCGAGGAACCUUACCCGGGCUUGAACUGCAGAGGAAAGAUCCAGAGAUGGUGAUGCCCCUCGGGGCCUCUGUGGAGGUGCUGCAUGGUUGUCGUCAGCUCGUGCCGUGAGGUGUCGGCUUAAGUGCCAUAACGAGCGCAACCCCUUUCGUCAGUUGCCAUCAGGUGAAGCUGGGCACUCUGGCGACACUGCCACCGUAAGGUGUGAGGAAGGUGGGGAUGACGUCAAAUCAGCACGGCCCUUACGUCCGGGGCUACACACGUGUUACAAUGGGUGGUACAGAGAGCAGGCCGUACGCAAGUACGGCCGAAUCAGAAAAGCCAUCCUCAGUUCGGAUUGGGGUCUGCAACCCGACCCCAUGAAGCUGGAUUCGCUAGUAA
rnacentral:rRNA from 1 species